GAGUAUUGCACUCUACAUACUUGGUGAUGAGAGCUCUGUUUUUGAUGAAGUUUCACAAUAUUUAUCCAGAAUAACUAUAGCCCCCCAGAAGUCACAAGCAGAGCAAGAGGAAAAUAGGUUUAGUUUUAGGCAUUCUGCAUCAGUUUCUAGCCUAGCUGAAAGAUUGGUUGUCUGGAUGGCUAAUGUCGG